CACGUAGGGUGCAAGCGUUGUCCGGAUUUAUUGGGCGUAAAGGGCUCGUAGGCGGUUCGACAAGUCGGGUGUGAAACCUCCAGGCUCAACCUGGAGUCGCCACUCGAAACUGUUGUGACUAGAGUCCGGUAGGGGGAGCAUGGAAUUCCUGGUGUAGCGGUGGAAUGCGCAGAUAUCAGGAGGAACACCAGUGGCGAAGGCGAUGCUCUGGGCCGGUACUGACGCUGAGGAGCGAAAGCAUGGGGAGCGAACAGG
rnacentral:rRNA from 1 species